CCUACGGGGGGCAGCAGUGGGGAAUAUUGGACAAUGGGGGCAACCCUGAUCCAGCCAUGCCGCGUGUGUGAAGAAGGCCCUCGGGUUGUAAAGCACUUUCAGUGAGGAAGAACGCCUGGUGGUUAAUACCCAUCAGGAAAGACAUCACUCACAGAAGAAGCACCGGCUAACUCCGUGCCAGCAGCCGCGGUAAUACGGAGGGUGCGAGCGUUAAUCGGAAUUACUGGGCGUAAAGCGCGCGUAGGUGGCUUGAUAAGCCGGUUGUGAAAGCCCCGGGCUCAACCUGGGAACGGCAUCCGGAACUGUCAAGCUAGAGUGCAGGAGAGGAAGGUAGAAUUCCCGGUGUAGCGGUGAAAUGCGUAGAGAUCGGGAGGAAUACCAGUGGCGAAGGCGGCCUUCUGGACUGAAACUGACACUGAGGUGCGAAAGCGUGGGUAGCAAACAGGAUUAGAUACCCGUGUAGUC
rnacentral:rRNA from 1 species